GAUGAACACUGGCGGCGUGCCUAAUACAUGCCAGUCGAGCGAACAGACGAGGAGCUUGCUCCUCUGACGUUAGCGGCGGACGGGUGAGUAACACGUGGAUAACCUACCUAUAAGACUGGGAUAACUUCGGGAAACCGGAGCUAAUACCGGAUAAUAUAUUGAACCGCAUGGUUCAAUAGUGAAAGACGGUUUUGCUGUCACUUAUAGAUGGAUCCGCGCCGCAUUAGCUAGUUGGUAAGGUAACGGCUUACCAAGGCAACGAUGCGUAGCCGACCUGAGAGGGUGAUCGGCCACACUGGAACUGAGACACGGUCCAGACUCCUACGGGAGGCAGCAGUAGGGAAUCUUCCGCAAUGGGCGAAAGCCUGACGGAGCAACGCCGCGUGAGUGAUGAAGGUCUUCGGAUCGUAAAACUCUGUUAUUAGGGAAGAACAAAUGUGUAAGUAACUAUGCACGUCUUGACGGUACCUAAUCAGAAAGCCACGGCUAACUACGUG
rnacentral:rRNA from 1 species